rnacentral:rRNA from 1 species
UACGUAGGGUGCAGGCGUUAAUCGGAAUUACUGGGCGUAAAGCGUGCGCAGGCGGUCUCUUAAGACAGGUGUGAAAUCCCCGGGCUUAACCUGGGAACUGCGCUUGUAACUGAGAGGCUUGAGUGUGCCAGAGGGGGGUGGAAUUCCACGUGGUAGCAGGUGAAAUGCGUAGAGAAUGUGGAGGAACACCGAUGGCGGAAGGGACA